rnacentral:lncRNA from 1 species
GCUCCUUCUCCUCCCGCCGGUGCCGCCCGCCCUGGGGGUGCGGACGCGCGCGCGUUCUCGAGUGCGCGUGCGCCGGGCGCGGGUGGAGACGGGCUGGCGCCAGAGCGCGCGGUGCGCGCUCGCCUGUGUGCGCAUGGAGAGGGGCCACGUGUGUGCGUGCCUCUGUGUGUGCACGAGAAGGCCAAAUGUAUGUAUACCUGUGCAUGUGCGCACAGAGGGGACACAUGUGAGUGUGCCUGUGUGUGCGCAAGGAUGGGCCAACUUGUGUGUAUGCAUGUGAGUGCGCAUGGAGAAGGGGCCACGUGUGUGUACUCCUCUGAGCUUGCAUGGGGCAGAGCCAGUUGUAUUCACACCUGUGUGUGCACAAGGAGUAGAGGAGCCACGUGUGAGCAUGUCUGAUGCCUACUUGGAGAAGGGCUGCGUGUGUGCCUACCUGUAAGUACAUGUAAGAGAAGAAGAACUGUGUCGCCCAGAGACGGGCCAAGUGUGUGCACUAAAGGGCCAACAGUAUGCACCCAGAUAUGCAUGCCUGUGCCCAAGAAGGGGCUGACGUUAUGCACGCCUUUGCGUGUGUAUCCGCACGCGCAUGGACAAGAAGAGCCAGGCGUGGGUAUGCUCUGGAGUACUUUCCUGUGAACCCACAGGAAAGGAGACAGUGGGCGUAGGUUUGCACAGAGGAGGGCAGGUGGGGCAUGUGAGUAAAGGUGUGCACUGGACACCAAGGAAAGACAGACUGCUGCCCCUAGUCAGCCAGCAGCCUCAGCGCCCAUGCGACAUGCACCCAGAUUCCUGACGAGUCCACACCUUCUGAGCGCCUGUGCAAAGGAACUAGAAGGGGGUCACCAGGAAAACUAGGCAGCCUGUCUGCUCCUCAAGGGCAGAAGCAGUUUCGUCACAGGAUGGACCUGGUGCAGCCUGGCCCUGGAGGCUUAGUCCAGCCUGAAUCCCACCACCCAGCCAGGUAGAGGACAGUCUGGGCCUCCAGAGCUGGUGCAAAGGUCAAGGCUGAACCAAGGGAGGGAGCCAUUAACCUCUGCCAAGGAGCCUUGGGAGGCCUCCCUCUCCACCUGGAACGUAUUAUUAC